GCUGAACGCUAGCGGCAGGCUUAACACAUGCAAGUCGAGGGGUAGAGGUUGCUUGCAACCUUGAGACCGGCGCACGGGUGCGUAACGCGUAUGCAACCUACCUUUUACAGAGGGACAGCCCAGAGAAAUUUGGAUUAAUACCUCAUAGUAUAUAACCUUCGCAUGUUGGUUAUAUUAAAGUUCCAACGGUAAAAGAUGGGCAUGCGUCAUAUUAGCUAGAUGGUAAGGUAACGGCCUACCAUGGCAACGAUAGGUAGGGGUCCUGAGAGGGGGAUCCCCGACCGUGGUACUGCGACACGGACCAGACUAUUACGGGAGGCAGCAGUGAGGAAUAUUGGACAAUGGGCGCAAGCCUGAUCCAGGCAUGCCGCGUGAAGGAAGAAGCAUCUAUGGUGUGUAAACUGCUUUUGUACAGGAAGAAACACCCCGACGUGUCGGGACUUGACGGUACUGUAAGAAUAAGGAUCGGUUAACUCCGUGCCAGCCGCCGCGGUAAGAC
rnacentral:rRNA from 1 species